rnacentral:rRNA from 1 species
UACGGAGGAUGCGAGCGUUAUCCGGAUUUAUUGGGUUUAAAGGGUGCGCAGGCGGGCAGUUAAGUCAGCGGUAAAAGCCCGGGGCUCAAUCCCGGCCCGCCGUUGAAACUGGCAGUCUCGAGUUGGAGAGAAGUAUGCGGAAUGCGCGGUGUAGCGGUGAAAUGCAUAGAUAUCGCGCAGAACUCCGAUUGCGAAGGCAGCAUGCCGGCUCCACACUGACGCUGAGGUUCGAAAGCGUGGGUAGCAAACAG